AGAUUUGGCUGGAUAGCUGAACAGAUCGCAGUUGUGCCACGACUGACAUCCAACAACAACUGUGGAAGAGGCAAAACCGGAUUGGUGACUUGGUCUGCACUGGCAGAUAGAAAAUUUAAUGUCUUCUGCUUUAAUGCAUCAGAUUUUGAGGAAACUCUGAAAACAUCGACAACAGGCCCACAAUCCUCCACGUCUUCUGCCACACUGACAACCUCAACCCUAACCUCAAGACCUACCACACCUUCGGUCAGAUCAACACCUCUGGUCAGAUCAACACUUGUGGUUAGAUCAACAAUCAAGCCAACCAGAAAGCCAAUUAUUACUGAAUCCCCUGAGCAGACACCCUUAACCUCUGCUCCCCUGGUCCAGACAACACCUUCAACUAGGAUUCCCUCCUCCACCCCCUCUUCCCUUACCCCUUCCUCCACCCAUAUUGCUGCUCCUCUUCCUCACCUUAUCACCUCAAAACCAACUAUAGUCAGUUUUGCCUUUUCUACUUCCGGUCAUGCCUCCAACAUCUCUCUUUCCUCCGAGUCAGUGCUGUCACAGUCUGUGAGCUCUGCAAAACCUUCUCUAGGGGUUGUACCUACUGCACUUGUUGUUGUCAGCAUCAUUAUCCUGCUCCUGACAGCAGCUGGUGCUGUGUGGUACUACACAUUGAAAAGGAAUAUUUUCACCUUUUGGUCUCAGGGGCAGCAGAGAGACGACAUAGAGACGGAGAUGUGGAAGCACACCAACAGUGAGAUGAAUCUACACAGCCAGGGUGGAGCAGAGGAAGACGAUGAAGAAGAAGAAUCAUACAGGAAGUACUCCAGUGAUAUCACGCUGUGUGUGCAUCCAGGUAUCAAAGCAAACUUUUCAGAGUAGCCUCAGGACAUUUCUUUAGGUGCUUUGUGAAAGUUAAUAGAAUGAUAAACAGCACUGAUAUAAGCCAG
ensembl:lncRNA